GUGCCUAAAUUUUCAGACCCAAAUAUGAGGGUUGGGAAAUCCCUGCAUUCUAACAUGUACCUAAUAUUUUAACAACAAUUCAUACACAAAUAACAGUGAACUGAUUUAAAUGUAAUUCAAAUUUCUAUUUAACAGACAGAAAGGUCGUUUCAAAAGCAGCCCACAGUGUUUCUGAACAAGAAGCAAGGUGCUGGAAAAAAGAAGGCUCUUAGACAUCAUUUCAGUGUUGGUCUGGGAUUCAAAACACCCAGAGAGG
rnacentral:lncRNA from 1 species